CCUACGGGGGGCGGCAGUGGGGAAUUUUGCGCAAUGGGCGAAAGCCUGACGCAGCAACGCCGCGUGAGUGAUGAAGGCCCUCGGGUCGUAAAGCUCUGUCGGGAGGGAAGAAAUGAUUGAGGGAUAAUACCCCUUGGUCUUGACGGUACCUCCGAAGGAAGCACCGGCUAACUCCGUGCCAGCAGCCCCGGUC
rnacentral:rRNA from 1 species